GAUGAACGCUGGCGGCGUGCCUAAUACAUGCAAGUCGAGCGAACGGACGAGAAGCUUGCUUUUCUGAUGUUAGCGGCGGACGGGUGAGUAACACGUGGAUAACCUACCUAUAAGACUGGGAUAACUUCGGGAAACCGGAGCUAAUACCGGAUAAUAUUUUGAACCGCAUGGUUCAAAAGUGAAAGACGGUCUUGCUGUCACUUAUAGAUGGAUCCGCGCUGCAUUAGCUAGUUGGUAAGGUAACGGCUUACCAAGGCAACGAUGCAUAGCCGACCUGGGAGGGUGAUAGGCCACACUGGAACUGAGACACGGUCCAGACUCCAACGGGAGGCAGCAGAAGGGAAUCUUCCGCAAUGGGCGAAAGCCUGACGGAGCAACGCCGCGUGAGUGAUGAAGGUCUUCGGAUCGUAAAACUCUGUUAUUAGGGAAGAACAUAUGUGUAAGUAACUGUGCACAUCUUGACGGUACCUAAUCAGAAAGCCACGGCUAACUACGUG
rnacentral:rRNA from 1 species